UACAGCCCACUCCUCUCGCCCAAGUCAUCCGGUUAAGCCCAAAUCAAGAUGUGCAAUGUGAGGGCGGUUUACUUUGAUCCAAUCCUUUCCUUAUGUCCGUUGGGGAGUCUUGGAGGCAAAGGAAGAAUCAAAUGGAUAAGGUGAGCUGUUGGUAUGAGCUGGAAAGGUAAAGGUGCUUUACCUUUACAGCCUUGACUCAUCUGAUCCAUCCAAUUCAAAUGAAGCAAUCUGAGCCCUCCAUUCAGUCCAACCACGACCAGCUAGCACCAGAACAUCAAAGACCAGCUUCCUCUCAUCCUAACCAUCCAUUUAUCUUUAAUUUACAGCCUUAGGAUCUAGGUUUAUGAUCUGAGUUGUGUAAAGGCAUAAAUAAGCCUCUUAGGAUCAUUUUGUAACCCUUAAGCUGAGAGAGUCUCUCUUCAUCAUAAACUUGUUCUUGGAUCUUAUUCUCUGGUUACUAAGUCUCUCUAAUCUCCUAUACACGUUCCUAAUCUCUUAGUCUCUCCCAUACUCUCUCUGAUUCUCUUAAACUCAUUUUUAUUCUUCAUACUUCAUCAUACACAAAUCUCUCAUCUGUUCUUACAUCGCUCAAGCACUUGUACUCUGAAAAUCUCACAUGGUAUCAGAGCCAGGUUGCUCAGACUCCUGGUAGAAGCUUCCGCAACAAACACAAGCUCCAACCCACGCCAGUUCAGCUCAUUUCACUCAGCUCCCAAGCGCCAGCCUUUGAAGAAGUUCCUUGACAGUUUUGCUCUUUCCAGCCUCAAGAUGGAGUCCAAAAGAGCCAUUGUCAUCCCAGUCACUCUCAAAGGCCCCAACUACCUUCUCUGGUCACGCCUAGCCAAGACAGCCAUAGGAGGAAAGGGUUUAUGGAGCCAUUGCAUCUCAGAUGCUCCAAACCACUCCAAAGCUGUCGCCACACAAGCUGAAGGUGAAGCAAGUUCCAAACCGGUCUCUGAAGACAGAUGGCUACAAGAAGACCUCACUGUCCUCUCCAUACUCCAAAGCUCCUUGGAUCCAUCCAUUCUUGAAGCCUACUCCUACUGUGAGAGUGCUAAAGAGCUUUGGAGUACACUUAAGAAGAUCUAUGGGAACCUGUCCAACCUCAGCCGAGUCUUUGAGAUCAAGAAGGCCAUCAACAACAUGUCCCAAGAAGAAGAGGAGUUCACUACUCAUCUAGGAAGGUUCAGAGCCCUUUGGUCUGAGCUAGAGAUGCUUAGACCUCAAUCAGUUGAGCCGGACGUGUUGAAUGAAAGAAGGGAGCAAGAUAAAGUGUUUGGGCUGCUCCUAACUCUCAGUCCCGCCUUCAGCGACCUCACCAAACAUCUACUGAGGUCUGAGAAGCUACCUACCCUUGAAGAAGUGUGUGCUCAAGUCCAAAAGGAGGAGGGCUCACACGGAUUGUUUGGAGCAAAGGAACCACUUACCUUUGCUUCACACGCUGAAGGAAGCUCUCAGUCCAUGAAGCCGGUGUACAAGAAGGGGGAUAGAAGAGGCCUGAAGUGUGAGCAUUGCAAGAGGGAUGGGCACACCAAGGAGAGGUGUUGGAUACUGAAUCCAAGCCUCAAACCUGCCAAGUUCAAGUGAACCGUGCCCAUGGAGGUUCAAGAGAUCAGCUCGGAUCUCUUGUUUGUAAGCAAACCUCCUAACCCUUAAUAAGAGCUUGUGUCUUUAUUUAUUGUGCUGUGAGUGGUGUCUAGAGUCCCAGAAUCUCAUGUCUUGUUAUUGCAUUGUCUUGUGUGUUGCCAUAGCUUGAAUCAUCAUGAAUGUGUUGUAGAAUUGAGUAGAAUGUCUCUACUGCUUGCAUCAUGUUUGAAAAGCUGUUUUGCAUACAUAAGCAUGUCUCAUAUUGUCUAAGUUCAAUCCGAGUGUGUACUGAUGCUAAUGCCUAUGUUUAAUCCAUCAAUGAAAGUCUAGCAUCAAUUAGAAAUUGUCUAAGUUGCUUGCAUCAUUGGUCUUGAUUGAAACGGUUGUGCAUAGCUUUAAUAUGUCUCAUGGAUUGAACCUGUUGCAUUCAUAUAGUUAAUGCUUUAGGAUUGUGCAUUCAUGUAUUGAUGCAUUUAAAAAUGAGCCUAAAUUGUCAAUGUAUUGGUAAAGCUUGCAUUGUCAUUUUAGAGAUUGAAAUCUGCUUGUUCUUGCCUUGAUUGAUUGGCUUGUUUCAAGGUUUAUAUAUUGCUGUGGCAUUGGUGAUCAAACAUGAUGAAUUAUCUUGGUUUGAUCCCAAUGGGAUGAUCUGAUCUUGCAUUGAGUUGUGGUGGUGUUAGGUACACAAGGAAAGUGAUACCUGUAACUCGCCAACAGCCAAGAAUGUAGAGACAAAGGUCUUGUGCCAUUGCAUAUCGUCACGAGGACAUGUUAGUCCAUAAUCUACAGGAAGUGUAGUGUGAUUGAUUAGCAAUGAGAGAUGGCCAUUACAUAAUACCAUUGGACAUAUCCAGUCCAAAGUCUACAGGAAGUGUAGCAUGGGUCAUUAUGCAAUGAGAAGUGUGUCUUGUGAGGCUCUCUAUGGUGAUUCAAACACCCUAGUUCCUGGUUAAGGAAGAGAGUAAACUCACAAGAAGAAAGCUAUCAUGAAAGACUGAUAGUUAUAAGACCAUGGGGAUGCAUAUGAUCAUCACAAGCUUAGCUCCUUCUAGUCUCGGUUCUAAGCUUGAGGGGGAGUCUUAAUGCAUAUGAUCCAUGGUCAGUAACAAGUCUUUGCAAAGGCUCCUACAAAGGAUCAUCAGCCGGAGCUAUUCUAGGCAGUCUAAGGGUGAAGGUGAACUCAUCAAAGCGGCUUCUAUGGUGAAGUGAUUGAUGAGAAGCUGAUGAAUCCAUUCUGCCUUUCCAAGAAGUUGAUGAUGCCAUGGAGAUGGUGCAAUGGCCGAGUGGGAACUCACCAAAACAAAAGGGAAGUGUCCUAAGCUCAAUUCAAUUCAAUACAUUCAUCAUUUCAAAUCAAAGUCUAGAAAUGAUACUUAAAAUGUUUGAAUGGAUUGUGUGAUGUUUCUUGAUAAGUACUGAUGCACCUUUGGGAUAAUGUAUCAGGUACCAUUGCUUGAGCCUCACUAAAGAUGUUCCUGGUCAUUUCCUAGCUUCUCUAAGGUGGCUGUGAAGUCUGUUGAGAGGGGGAGAUCCAAACCAGUUCUAUGAAGAGGGCAAGCAUAGUUUGAAGUCUUGCUCAGCCUCACUGAUGUUUAAAGAUGAUCCGGUCGCAUCCUUGCCUUUCUAAGAAGGCUAUGAAGCUUGUUGAGAGGGGGAGUCCCAAACCGGUUCCAUGAAGAGGUGAAGCUGAGGUGUGAAGUGUGCGCAAAGCUGUGAAGUGUUGCUGCACCUAUUAGGCCGUGAUCCAGAGCUUCUUGUGUCCAACCACACUGGUUCUAAGGCACAAGAGCUCACUGGCCAAUCCCUAGGCUUUGGAGAGCUCUACUCUUUUUCCCUUGCAAGGUUUUGUCCCAAUGGGUUUUCCUUGUAAGGUUUUUAAUGAGGGAGACUCUUCAGAGUUCCAAGCUUGGCUUAGGAUCUCCUAAAGUCAAGCUUGAGGGGGAGUGUUGAACUGAAGAGAAGAUAGAGCUUGUACAAUAAUAGGGCAAGCUCUAGAAGAUGUCCAGAAGAGUUCAAUCAAGCUUCAGAAGUGUUCUGAAGUAGUUAUCUUGUGAAGUUAAGUCUAGGAAAGACUUAGACUGAUCAUGUGAAGGAUUUGGAGGAGUUUGGGAGAAGAUGGCAGUAUGGUGCAAAUCUAGGGCGUUCAGUACGGCCAUGUACGGCCUAGGGCAAGCCAUGAAGAUGUCUGUGCAAUCAAGAGGGAAGAUAGGGCAAUGUACAAAGAUAGGGCAAGUGGUACGGACAGGAGGUCCGUACCAACGACCGUACAGCCCACUCCUCUCGCCCAAGUCAUCCGGUUAAGCCCAAAUCAAGAUGUGCAAUGUGAGGGCGGUUUACUUUGAUCCAAUCCUUUCCUUAUGUCCGUUGGGGAGUCUUGGAGGCAAAGGAAGAAUCAAAUGGAUAAGGUGAGCUGUUGGUAUGAGCUGGAAAGGUAAAGGUGCUUUACCUUUACAGCCUUGACUCAUCUGAUCCAUCCAAUUCAAAUGAAGCAAUCUGAGCCCUCCAUUCAGUCCAACCACGACCAGCUAGCACCAGAACAUCAAAGACCAGCUUCCUCUCAUCCUAACCAUCCAUUUAUCUUUAAUUUACAGCCUUAGGAUCUAGGUUUAUGAUCUGAGUUGUGUAAAGGCAUAAAUAAGCCUCUUAGGAUCAUUUUGUAACCCUUAAGCUGAGAGAGUCUCUCUUCUUCAUAAACUUGUUCUUGGAUCUUAUUCUCUGGUUACUAAGUCUCUCUAAUCUCCCAUACACGUUCCUAAUCUCUUAGUCUCUCCCAUACUCUCUCUGAUUCUCUUAAACUCAUUUCUAUUCUUCAUACUUCAUCAUACACAAAUCUCUCAUCUGUUCUUACAUCACUCAAGCACUUGUACUCUGAAAAUCUCACACUGGUGAUGUCUUGUUUGGUGAAGUGGGUGCAUGUGAGCUGUCCGCAGCCAAUUGACUGAUUAAUAACAUUGCGGUUGAUGUUGCAGUAAUGGGA
rnacentral:lncRNA from 1 species